AUUCCCAUUCCCUCAAGUAUAUCACGGCCUUCCCAUGGCCACCGGUGACGUCCAUUCACGCACCAACUCAGCUUCUGAUUUUAACAAGCCAUCUCCUCUUGCGUAUUAUAAACAGAAAAGGUGGGACUCAAAUUCCAUGCAGCAAUAGCACGGAUGACGGUGAUUGGAACUUCCACAAAGAGUGAAGGUAUGUUGGAGCUGCUUUCUUGUACAAGAUGACAAAGACAGUAAGUCACGUCAGGCUUUGAUAGAACAAGUCACAGGUGUGAAGGAACAUUCCAAAAUGUCAGGAUUAAACACUGAAGGAAUGAGAUGAUUCGUUACUGAAAUGUUGCCAAGAUUUUUCUUGUCGAAGAAGCUUUCUGAGAUGUUAAGAUUUGGGAGAUGUGGAAAGGUAUAUCAGGACAAGUUUGGCUGCGAUAUCGGAUCAACCCAGAAGAGUAGAAUGGCUCAAACAAACGAGAUUCUUCUUCCUCGCAAAAGAAUCCCAGGUGGCUAUUUCUGGCCCAUGGAUAUCUCUGCUCCAGGGGUGAUUUCAAGAAGCAGACCCGCCCCCCUGUUGGCUCAGUCAUCUGCUGUGGUAUCCAGGAAAACAAGAGCACGUCCCUAAAAAUCACCCCUUCGUACGAUGUGCUUGUCAUUUACGGACACUGGUCAUUCUUGCCAGCUGUGUGCAGAGGAACAUACCGACCAGAACGACAUUUUCCAGCACCGGGAGAUAUUUCGUGUCGCUUCCACUUGGGGCUAGAAAUUUCCUCUGCGAGUUAAGGUCCUUGAACAAAGAGCUCCACGCUCUCAGAAGCUACUGCGAUCUCUCCUGUAAUGUGCAAGCCUGUCACCGACUGUUUCUUUUCCAGGGAACAUUGUCUCCUCCACUAGGGACCUAGUUACCCUGGACACCAAAACCACAAGCUUUCUUUUAAAAGAAACCAUGGAAACCACAGCCUUUCGACCUCACUAACGCAAUUGACUCCCUAAUGGUCAGUACUGCCGUUAAAAAACUAAAUUCAGUGGGUAAAUGUGAAAGUCUAAUUGGCCUUAUUAAACAAUUCGUGAAUUGGAAUCAUAGAACAAGUGGGGGGGGGGGGAAGGAGCCUUCUGCUGAGCUAAAAGAAAGAAAGCUUUCAAAGGCAGAGAGGGGACAUCAAGAAAAGAAAGAAAAGAAGGAAGGAAGGAAGAAAAAAACAAAGGAAUUUAGUAGCAAGGAAUGCCUUGCUUAGGAGAGGCUGCCCUCUUAAGGAGAGGGGAAGGGGCCUGUCAGUAAAUUUCCGAGCCUUGACCAAGAAAUUCCACGUUGACUGCUUAAAGGUUACAUUCCGGGGAAGUUGAAACUGCAGGUAGGUUACGGAUUAAGUCUGGUUUACUGGGAGACAAACCAUCAGAGACUCUUAAAUACAGAGAACAAAAUGAGGGCUGCUGGAGGGGAGGUGGGG
rnacentral:lncRNA from 1 species